rnacentral:ncRNA from 1 species
CAAAAGCUUGGUCCUGACUUUAAUGUCAGCUUUGGUUAAAUUUAUACAUGCAAGUAUCCGCAUCCCUGUGAGAAUGCCCUACACCCUCCUGCACUGGAAAAGAGGAGCAGGCAUUAGGCACGAUACUAUCAGCCCAUGACGCCUUGCUUAGCCACACCCCCAAGGGAACUCAGCAGUAAUAAACAUUAAGCCAUAAGUGUAAACUUGACUUAGUUAAAACCAAGAGGGCCGGUAAAACUCGUGCCAGCCACCGCGGUUAUACGAGAGGCCCAAGUUGACAAAUACCGGCGUAAAAAGUGGCUAGUAUGAUAUUUAACUAAAGCUAAACAUCUUCAAAGCUGUUAUAUGCUCUCGAAGACAGGAAACCCUUCCACGAAAGUGGCUUUAAAUAGUACACCCCACGAAAGCUAGGAAACAAACUGGGAUUAGAUACCCCACUAUGCCUAGCCCUAAACAAAGGUGUUGGUUUUACACCUAUCCCUUGCCGGGGGACUACGAGCCCCAGCUUAAAACCCAAAGGACUUGGCGGUGCUUUAUACCCACCUAGAGGAGCCUGUUCUAGAACCGAUAACCCCCGUUAAACCUCACCCUCUCUUGUUUUCCCCGCCUAUAUACCGCCGUCGUCAGCUUACCCCUUGAGGGGAACACAGUAGGCAAAAAUGGUAGAACCUAAAACGCCAGGUCGAGGUGUAGCGUACGAGAGGGGAAGAAAUGGGCUACAUUCACUGACACAGUGAACUACGGACGAUACCUUGAAAAAAUAUCCAAAGGAGGAUUUAGCAGUAAGGGGGAAAUAGAGUGUCCCCCUGAAACUGGCCAUGAAGCGCGCACACACCGCCCGUCACUCUCCCCUAGAAAAGCAAACGUAAUAACUAAUAAAAGAUUUAAAUAAAGGGGAGGCAAGUCGUAACAUGGUAAGUGUACCGGAAGGUGCACUUGGAAAAAC